ACGGGUGAGUAAUGCCUAGGAAUCUGCCUGGUAGUGGGGGAUAACGUUUCGAAAGGAACGCUAAUACCGCAUACGUCCUACGGGAGAAAGUGGGGGAUCUUCGGACCUCACGCUAUCAGAUGAGCCUAGGUCGGAUUAGCUAGUUGGUGGGGUAAUGGCCCACCAAGGCGACGAUCCGUAACUGGUCUGAGAGGAUGAUCAGUCACACUGGAACUGAGACACGGUCCAGACUCCUACGGGAGGCAGCAGUGGGGAAUAUUGGACAAUGGGCGAAAGCCUGAUCCAGCCAUGCCGCGUGUGUGAAGAAGGUCUUCGGAUUGUAAAGCACUUUAAGUUGGGAGGAAGGGCAGUAAGUUAAUACCUUGCUGUUUUGACGUUACCAACAGAAUAAGCACCGGCUAACUUCGUGCCAGCAGCCGCGGUAAUACGAAGGGUGCAAGCGUUAAUCGGAAUUACUGGGCGUAAAGCGCGCGUAGGUGGUUCAGCAAGUUGGAUGUGAAAGCCCCGGGCUCAACCUGGGAAUUGCAUCCAAAACUACUGAGCUAGAGUACGGUAGAGGGUGGUGGAAUUUCCUGUGUAGCGGUG
rnacentral:rRNA from 1 species